rnacentral:misc_RNA from 1 species
GUUACAAAUUUGUCAGGUUCAGAUUCAGAUGGAACUCUGAGUCAUAAGCCUGAAACAUCAAGUGGAACACAAGUUUUUGCACCUGAAGUUGUGAGCACCAAAAUACCCAGUGAUGCUAAAAGAACAAUGAUACCUGAAGAAAGUUGUGAACUGCAUCCUAUCCUUGUGACAUCUAGCAAUAUUGCUAUACCACCUGCUGGUGCAAGCUCUUUAGGAGCAGCCAAACCAUCAUGUACUCUGCAUGAAGAUGAAAAUUUUCAUGAACAUGGAGACUUUCAGGGAUUAUGCUCUGCAUUAUCGUCAAUUAGAAUUGAUAGCCAUCUUAAGAAUGAGAACUCUAAUCCUGUCAUUUCAGAAAGUUUAAUUUAUAAUCAUAACCUGCACACAAGUGAAGGCUCACAACAAGAUGUGAACCUACUUAUGAAAUCUUCUGCCUUACCAGCACUAAGGGAAAACUCAAUUGUCAAGGAUUUAUUAGGUGAUCAGCAGCUUGAAGGUUCUAGAGACAUCCAUAAUCUACCAUCCAUGUUUUGUCUACUUUCUUCAGAACAGAAUUUUAAAGAGCCAAAUCAUCAUUCUUGGAAGCAGGGUGAGAUUAGUCAUCAGAGUUCUUUUGAUGCCUAUCCAAGCACUGUACCCAUUAAAUGUGAAGCUGAUGCCUUUCCAUUGCGACCUGCCCAGCCAGUGCUAACCAGUGGA